rnacentral:rRNA from 1 species
GAUGAACGCUGGCGGCGUGCCUAAUACAUGCAAGUCGAGCGAACAGACGAGGAGCUUGCUCCUCUGACGUUAGCGGCGGACGGGUGAGUAACACGUGGAUAACCUACUUAUAAGACUGGGAUAACUUCGGGAAACCGGAGCUAAUACCGGAUAAUAUAUUGAACCGCAUGGUUCAAUAGUGAAAGACGGUUUUGCUGUCACUUAUAGAUGGAUCCGCGCCGCAUUAGCUAGUUGGUAAGGUAACGGCUUACCAAGGCAACGAUGCGUAGCCGACCUGAGAGGGGGAUCGGCCACACUGGAACUGAGACACGGUCCAGACUCCUACGGGAGGCAGCAGUAGGGAAUCUUCCGCAAUGGGCGAAAGCCUGACGGAGCAACGCCGCGUGAGUGAUGAAGGUCUUCGGAUCGUAAAACUCUGUUAUUAGGGAAGAACAAAUGUGUAAGUAACUAUGCACGUCUUGACGGUACCUAAUCAGAAAGCCACGGCUAACUACGUG